GAUGAACGCUGGCGGCGUGCCUAAUACAUGCAAGUCGAACGAGGUGCUUUUGUAGCAAUACGAGAGUAUCCUAGUGGCGAACGGGUGAGUAACGCGUGGAUGACCUGCCCCAAAGUGUGGGAUAACAGUCCGAAAGGAUUGCUAAUACCUCAUGUGGUUAUCGGUUUUAGAAAGCGAUAACUAAAGCAGCAAUGCGCUUUGGGAGGGAUCUGCGUCCCAUCAGCUAGUUGGUGAGGUAACGGCUCACCAAGGCGACGACGGGUAGGGGACCUGAGAGGGUGGCCCCCCACAAUGGAACUGAAACACGGUCCAUACACCUACGGGUGGCAGCAGUAGGGAAUAUUGCUCAAUGGGCGAAAGCCUGAAGCAGCAACGCCGCGUGUGCGAUGAAGGCCUUGGUCGUAAAGCACUUUCUAAGAGAUGAGAAAGGACAGUAUCUUAGGAAUAAGUCUCGGCUAACUACGUGCCAGCAG
rnacentral:rRNA from 1 species